AUGGUAACCAUAGCGUCCAAAACCUCCAAUGCAAACUAUCAUCUCGUCCACAUAGCUAUGACGAAAAACUGGUUGGAAGCCCAUGCCGACUUUUCGGCAGGGGUGCACACUUUUGGCCAGUGCAUGGCACUGGCUGACCUCAAUGCCGAUGGUGACCAUCGACUCAUAAUUGCAGACCAUGGACAAUUUUUGACAAAUCGAUCUCAGGCGAAGUUAAAGGUUUAUCGAGGAACGUCCUUAGUUGCUGAAAAUGCUCUUUUGGACUUGCCAGUUGCUAUUGCUGCGUUUCACAUGGACUUGACUCAGCCCCGAAUACCUGCUGUGGCUGUUGCCAGUGGUCCUCACAUUUAUAUUUACAAAAAUAUGCGGCCUUACUUCAAAUUUUCCUUGCCUCCAAUGGACAUUUCAUCUGUCGAGAAAGAUGUUUGGGCUCAGGCAAAAGAAGGCAAUAUUGAGGUAGACGUAUUGAUGGACAUGCUGAACGGCCUUAGCAAAGAGGUUGGAUUUUCCAGACUCACCGCCAGGUCGCAGCAACUCCUCUCUUUACCAGAAGCGGCUCUGCGGAAGAAAUUCAUUGAGGAUCAGAAAAAUCAACCUCUCAGGCGUCAAACCUCAAUCACCUGCCUGACAACCCUGAAGAAGUCCCUCCCUGACGACGACGCGGUGACCUGUCUGGUUGUUGGCACCGAGAGCGGACACAUUUACAUCCUGGACUCGGAGGCCUUCACUAUUUUGGACACCAUCCAAGUGCCAGGAGUGCCUUGUUUCAUGGGGGCAGUCGGCCUCCGAGACGUGGAAUUCCGGAUUGUGGUCGCCUGCAGGAACCGGCAGCUGGUGCAGGUCAAGCGUGGCUGGAGAGACGCGCGACCUUUGACCCAACUUGCCGCCCAAGCUCUGGGUCUGGCCAUCAGUCCGAGUGCGGUCGUCGUCGCCUUGAUGGAUGACACACUACGGUGGUUCACGAAGAAGGGCAAGGAGACCUGGUGCAUCAACCUGCCAGGGAUCGUCCGGUGUCUGACCGCCGUGCCUCUACCCCAGCAUGGAACCUGGGCAGCCGCUGUUGGACUAAUCGACGGAUCCAUCCAGCUCUACUCGGAAGGAAAAUUAAUUGACACCAUCGCCACCCCACGACCUGUUUCGGCGCUGAUUUGUGGCACCUUUGGCCAAGGGGAGCACUGCCUGGUGGUUAAUUCCGAGGAUGGUGGUUUGAUGGUGCACAUUUUGAGGAGGACGGCUAAUUUCAAACUGGCGGAAGAGCAGGUUGGUGCAAAAGAUUCUCAGCCACUGCCAAUCCCAAAGAAAACCAAACUCUUCGUCGAGCAGACCGUCAGAGAAAGAGAAGGAGCAAAAGCCAUUCACGACGCUUUCCAAAUGGAUCUUCUGCGUUUGAGGUUAAAAGUGGCCAGGUCUUGCGAGUCAGCUCUUUCGGGGUCUUUAUCAGGCAACCCCAUCUCAAGCACUCAACCCCUACGACUUGCCGCUCAAGUCAGAGGUCUAGGCCCAACCUUCCAACUGACUGUUGAACUUGAAAAUAUGGCAGAAAAAGAUGCCAUGAUCGGACUUGCCAUUGUCUUUCACUAUGACACCAAAAUCUAUCAGAUUGACCGGCCUUUCAUCAAAGUUCCCCUUCUGGUGCCCAGGUUUCCUUUUGAAAUGGAAACGUUCGUUGGAUAUGUUUCUACAACUCCAGGCCUGACAGGAGUUGUGCGGGUGCUGGUCGUUAAAGGCGCCCAUCAGCAGGCGCCAUUACUAGCUGCUCUCAUACACAUGCCCAUGCCUGGGGAUCUUGAGUCCGUAUAAAGUGCAGGUGGGAAUGAUAAUCUCAAGUACUUUUAUAUUUAGAUGUUGGGUACAUAUAAUUUUUUGCUACAUUAUAGAGCGUUAUCAAAACUUUUGACAUUUCUACUAAUUGUAAGUGCUCCCAAAUUUUCUUUAUCUGUCUGAUUUUAUAAUCAAUGAAGUAAUUAAUCAUGCAAAUUUGCAUGUACCUUAACAUUUCUUAUCAAUUUCAAAUUAAUCGCUUCUUUUCAAUUUGCUUUAUGAAAGUGAAAUAAAAUUGAAUUAUAUAAUUAAGAGUUUUUUUUAUACUUAAACUUUAAGUGGUAGAAUGUUGAAAUUAAAAUCAUCGGGCGAAUAUAGGUUUCAAAAUUUAUAUUUAUUAAUAGUAAAAAGCUUUCACAGAAAGUUUGAGAAUUUUGACUCACAAAUUUGAUCAAAUAAAAUUUUUGUUAAAUAUAAAUUACUUCUGGUAUUUUGGCGCCAACUCCUGUGCCCUGGUGACGUACUUCUUCAUGGCAUCUUCCUUGGAGGUGCCUUUCAGAGCCACCCAAGCAUUGUGCUUGGCCACAGAGAGCGAGUCACUGCCCUUUGGUGCGCCUGACAAUAAAAUGAAAAUUAUUUUUUUUGCGACCAAAAUUUUUAAUGAAACAAUUAAUGUUCAUACAAAACUUUUCUUAUUCAUACGUCUGACAAUAUUUUAUUUUUGAAUAAGUGAAAAUAAGUAACUUAGAUUUUAAUACCUUCAGAGCAAUCUCCAGCUGUUGCCUGUUUGUAGAGAGAGUAGAAUUCAGCAAAGACACCUUCCUCAGGAACGGUCUUGAAGGCAGCAACCUUCUUGGCGGUAUCGGCAAAUUGCUGUUAAUUAAAAAUUGAUAAUUUAACAAAUUUAUGUAUAAAAAAUUUUCAAUAGAAUAGAACUUACGUCGGCAAGAGACAUGGUGUGGGUUUCAGAUUUGAUAUAUAUGAAUCUUUGUAGGGUGGCAGGGUUCCUUUUAUAAGCGCCUUUCCCACCAAAGUCCACCACUUCUUCCAAUUAUUAGGGCCCGGCAAAGAUAAGAUUAAAGUCUCUCAAAUAUUGAGAGGCACCCCUUAGCUUAUCAACCCGGGCAAUAUUGCGCUUCUUUUCUUAUUUGGAUAAGGGGCUUGAACGUCUGGAACCUUCAGUUUGCAAUUAUUAUCUGCAGUUUACUCUUUGCACUGCGGGGCCAAUCUAUUUGCGAUAAAAGAAAAACUCCUAAAAGUGCAAUGAUUCGAGGAAAUUAAUUACUUUUUUGUUGCCUAAUAAAAUAGUGUGUCAAUAAAUUUUUUGUUUCCAGAACAAUUUUUUUAAAUAAAAUGACGCCUUUCGCUUUUUUGUGUGUUAUCUUAUCGAUCAUCAAUACUUGAAAUGCUGGAUAUUUUGAAUUUAUCAUUUUGAUGAAAAGGAAAUACAAAAUAUAUAAUUAUGUAAUAUAAAAUGCGUUUCUUGUUAAUUCAAAAAAACCUUUAUUGUUUGAAAUUUUUCUAAAAAUUACAUAUUAAAUUUUUGCUAACAAACUUUCACAUAAUAAUAUUUUCUUAUUUUGGGGUUUUUUUUAAGGUUUUCAGCUUUUUAUUUUAAAAAUCAGUCUGCAAUCUGGAAAGAAUAAUUCAACAUUUUAUUUUUCUGGGAAACGCGAGUUUCUUCAAAUGAUUUCACCUUGUGAAAUAUAUUUCUUCGCCUGCGCAGUGCGCACCCCCUGUAGCUUUCAGCAGAAGGGAGAAACCCCUUUUGCUUCUGUCAUCAUACUUUCUACAGGUUGCAACUUGCAACCUGUUGUCACCUGUUUAGUUUGUGUUGUUAAGUGAGUCAGUGAGUGCAGUGCUGGUAUAACCCCGGUGAAGUGAACUUGUCCCACAACGGCGCAUUGCCAGAGUUGAAAUCAAUUUAAAUUGAACUUAAGCACUGCUGAACUGGUUUCACCCGAUUGAUCAUAUUAUUCUUCUGGAGGUGAGAUUUUUAGACUGAAAUCUUUAUUUUUAACCAGGGAAAAAUGCAAACAAGAGGAGACCAACUCCGAAAAAAGUCUGCAAAUGUGACAUUUGCAGAUAAUGAUGGUUCUCGCAGAGCUCGGAAGAAAACCCUCAAACCCGAAAAGAUGAAACCGCCACCCGCAACUGCCAGCAAACCAAGGUUGGUGUGUCGUAAUUGCAAGAAAACCUAUGUGAAGCCUAAUUGCUACAAGAAGCACAUGACCACUUGUGGCGUUGAUACGACCUCAUCAUCCGAGCAAACUCCAAAAGCCGAAUCUCAAGAUCGACGCAAUUCAGAAAGAUCGGGCUCGCUAUUUUUAGUGGUCCUGUAUUUCGUACUUUUGGUCGUGCUCAUAGCCAUUAUCUUCCACCUCGUUAUCUCUUGCUCUGCUGCUGGCAAGUACAAACUCCUUGACUAAAAGUUGGUUUUAAUAUGCAUCUGAUUUUUUGACAAGCUUAUAUAUGUAAGAUUAAUUUAUUUAUGAUUGAUGAUAUGGAAUAAAUGAACCUCGUAAUUUAACAUUCAAAAGCAGAAUAUUGUUUUAUUAGAACAACAUAGCUUGGUAGGCUACAAUAAUGAUAAUAGCAAUUCAUUUAAAAUAGUAUAAUAAUAAUAGUUAUUAUGUGAGUAACAACAAUAUACGAUUCUUUUUAAAAAAUUAGUGCACUUUAGACAGUGUGGGGGCCAUCAAAAUAAAUUGCACUCGAUAUCCAUCCUUCUCUUUUUCUCUCUCACUUGAGAUCUCCGACCAUUUUUUGGGGAUAGUGAAUUUUGUUCCAGCU